CGAAAAGGAAUAAGACCGUAACCCAAAAGAUUGACUAUAAGUGAUAGUCAUCCGGACGGUUUGGCAAAGAAUAUUAUAAAACAAGUACAAAUCAUGGUCGAAGGCUGGUCUAGGACCGGACACUUCUCGAACAGACAGAAUAAGAAAUGAAGGCUAAGGAACUUCAAGGGUUCGGACACUUACCAGUUCAGAAUGAAAUUCUGGUUGGUAUCGUUUGAAGGUCUUGGUGCCGG
rnacentral:lncRNA from 1 species